rnacentral:rRNA from 1 species
GACGGGUGAGUAAUGUCUGGGAAACUGCCUGAUGGAGGGGGAUAACUACUGGAAACGGUAGCUAAUACCGCAUAACGUCGCAAGACCAAAGAGGGGGACCUUCGGGCCUCUUGCCAUCAGAUGUGCCCAGAUGGGAUUAGCUAGUAGGUGGGGUAACGGCUCACCUAGGCGACGAUCCCUAGCUGGUCUGAGAGGAUGACCAGCCACACUGGAACUGAGACACGGUCCAGACUCCUACGGGAGGCAGCAUG